rnacentral:tRNA from 1 species
GGGGAGAUGACCGAGUGGCUUAUGGUGUCGGUCUUGAAAACCGAUGAUGUGAAAGCAUCCGGGGGUUCGAAUCCCUCUCUCCCCG